UCAGAUUAAUUAUAACUUUCAUCCCCGUACAUGGUAUCAAUCAAAACACCAACUCAAAAUCAUAUCAAUGGUGUUCAUCCUCAAUCGCCGCCAAACCCAAACAAGAACGAUGCUUCCAUCACUCACCCACAAACAGGUAGAACGACAUUCACCGACAAGCAAAAUAUCAACUUCAGUGAAUUAUGUUCCUCUCUGUCCGUCUACGGUACGUAGCCGCCAGCAUCCAGAUGAUACUAGAUGAUCAGCGGCCGGUCCUUCCUCGACAGUCAACAGUGAACACGAUGGUAGCCUCUACGACUAGCCCAUGGAUUCUAAACAUCAGAAGAUCAAACAUUACCUUUCAUCUCUACUAAAUUCUACAGAUGUACGAAAUAGAAAAGACUAUACAUCCUAGAUUUGGUCGGGACGUUUUCAAAAUGAGGGAUCAAGAGAAAUUCUAGGUCUCCACCGGGGUAGCAUACCCCGUUCGAAGACCUAGCCAACAAAGAUACGGAUGAAAUAAGUGGACAUCAACAAGGUAGUGGUAUCCAUUGGUAUGAUGAUUGUCUCCUGAGAAGAAACAAGAAUACCUAAAGAGGCAGCAGAUAUCCCGCCAACAAAAAAAGGCUACAACUUAAAUCUUGUCAAAUGUGAGGAACCAAAGAAGCUUGCAGAACAAGGAGAUCGCACCCAUUUAAAGACCUAACCAACAAAGCAAAUGAAUAUAGAAUCGGGAACAUCAACAGGGCAGUAGUACGAGUUGGUAUGUUGGAUUGUCUUCUGAGAGGAAAGAAGAAUACCUGAAGAAGCAGCGAAUAUCCCACGGACAAAAAAGGAUGUAGCUCCAGAUCCUGGUAAAUCAAGGAAUCCAAGCAAGCUACAGAGCAAGGUAAGAAACAUAUAAAUCCUAGCUGAAUUUUUGAAAUCUCUUUUAUAAAAAAUUAAUGCCACGACAUGAUUCGACUUCUAAGUUACUCCAGAUUUAAUUAUUGAUAUCUCUUAUAUAAAAGUUGACCACGAUACGGAUCUGCAGUGUCACCAUCGAGAAAUCAAGCCAAGACGAGUGCAGACAUCACACAUGACUACUUUGAGGGACCAAAGCAGCAUGGGAAGCAAGGUAAAAAUAAUUAACAGUUUCGCGUUUGGGAGAUAUAAAUGCCAUCACAUGAUUUUCCUGAAAAUUUAUCUUAACCACUCCAAAUUUAGAACAACGUUUUAUAUUGGCCACUGAACAUGUAAACUGAAAAUAAAAAUCAGUGGGCAUUCAUUUAGGUCAAGCAUGUUCUAAGAACAUUGCUUUGAGUUCAAUGGGUGGAGUGUCACCAUUCCGACUUCAGACCGAGAUGAAUGCAUUUGCGACACAUAAUAUUGUUUUGCAGUUGCUAUUGAACGCGUGACUUAACUGCAAAUUAACAACAGAUCGUACCCCAUUUAAAUACCUAACCAACAAACCUAAUGAUGAAAAUUGGGAACAUCAACAAGGUAGUAACAUGAGUGACUUAUUUGGUUUUAAAGCUAUUUUGUGGAGAGUGGAGACUGCAUUAUCACUGCACUUGUACACAAACUGAACAUGGAUAUUUGGGUAUUAGUAACGAGAUUUAGGUUGGCUAUGACAUAGAAAGGGAUAAUCGACUAUUUGCAUUGAGAAAAAGGGUAGGCUUAUCAUGUAUAAUAGGUGAGCUUUGCAAGUUAACAAUACUUCAAAAUCUUAAGCCCUGUGAACUCGGAAACUUAGUAGCGGUAAUUCAUGGAUGCAUGGUAUGCAUUAACAGCUAUAUCACAGUUUGAACUGCUGAGCCAACAUUUUUUGUAUAGCAAAGCACACCAAUUUCAGCAAUGCACUCGAGUGUUAAAUUGACAAGUAUGAUUAACAUUCACAAAUGGCCAUGGGUUUGAUAGAGAAAUUACCUUGACUUCCUCAUAGCCCCCUUUUCCCAGGCCAGAAGCCAUUCCAGUGUCGACACAUGCAUCUUCAACAUCUGCAAAAAGCAGAGACGGCUCUCUCACUUGACGCCGACUUCCCUCCGAUGAUGCGCGUGCUCCACCUGUACGGGUCGGCGCGUGCAUGGACAAGUCGCUCACGCUGGCCUCCCACGGGCAGUAUCUCCCCCAGUCCCUCUCUCAGCGAGAACGACCUCCAUUGGCACGGUCCUCUUCUACGUCCUCCGCGAGGCCUCUGCCAUGGCAGCCUCGUGCAUUCUCAUCUUCCCGCUGAAGAUGCAGAGUUCUGUCGCCUUUGCCGAUUCUGCCAUGAGCAAGGGCGGCAAGGCAGGCAUGGCCGGAAGGGCUGCCGCAGAGCGGCAGUACCGUGGGGUGAGGCGGUCGUCGCAGA